AUGCGAUUCCCUGCUCCUGGCCUGAUCUCUGGAUGCUGCUCUGCUUCCACUGGAGUCCCUGCGGUCACUGGGCACCUCGUUCUCCCAAUGGUGACACGUGGACACUGUGUUCAUGGUCCCGUGCAACAUGUCUUGUGCCCGGCUCCACUGUAGCCACUUGAACCAAAGAGUACAGAGACAGUGUCGGCUCACCUUAGCUUUCUCGAUCCAGGUUUCUGACAUUUCAGAGAUUCCAUGGGGAGUCCUAUAGUUCGUACGCAGUAGUUUCCCCACCAGGGACAUGUGGAAGCUUAUGUACUUUCACUGCAUAUAGCCCCAUCCCCAGCUUCUUUGUGGCUGCUGAAUCCAAGAAUUCAUGGGAAUUCAUUGAAUCCUAAGAAUUCAAUCCUAAGAGCUCCUGUAUCUGUGCUGGUUGGCUUUGCUCGUCCAAGCUACCUUUCUUUUGGUAUUUGGAAUCCUAGUUCCGGUAGUGUCCUUGAAAUGGGUCUUCUGAAUUUGACAUCUUACCCUCUUAGCGUGAGCUGAUCCCUUCUUGCUUGCCUGAUCAGGGGCAUUUCUGAUGCCUUUCUCAUCAGUGGAAUGUUGCAGCCAAAUCGUGUGGUUUGACAUAUUGAGAUUCUGACGGCGAGUGAUGAAGAGAAUAGUUUCCUCAAACUUCAGCACCGAGGGAGUCCUUGGAGGGCUUCUCGCAAAACCGCACUGCCUCCAGUCCUCCUUCCGAGCCUCACCGAAUGAGGAAUGCAGAAUCUGAGUGUGACCCUCUAGCAAGAAAAAGGAACCAAGGCUCCAAAAGAAAUGACUUUGUUGGGGCCACGGAUAAACUGGUGGCAGAGGUCGGCGAGGAACCUAGUGUGAGCGCAGGGUGUGCUCUUGAGCAUGGCGAGGAGGAGGUCUCAUGCCUGCUAGAGAUCCAUGACCUGUUAUCUAUCCUUCUGGGCAAAGAGACAUUUUCUCCAUGGUCCAUCUGAGUCCACGGUGGUACGCAGCCUCUGCUGUUCCGUGGUAAUCUCACGUGUGUCUCUCUCCCUCUUGGGGCAGAUGUCCACAUGCAUCGUGUGUACCACGAGUUCCAAAGUGUUUGGCCUGAAGGUGCUGUGGGUCAACCAGGGCCUCAAAGGGUGGGUUGCUCUGCAUGUGGAAAGCUGUAGCACCUCCUACAUGAGACCUUAGCACCGUGUGCCAAAAGCCAAAACCACAAGCGGCACGUAGCCUCCUCCUUCGAUAGCAGAGGCUGGGUUUUCUUGCAAGGGACCUUGCCUGAUGCCCUCAACGGGCCAUCGCUCACCUGUCAGCCCAGAGCUCCAGACUUUGCUGGGGAGGACCUCGGAAGCAGAACUGCAGAGGGUUCUUUCUGCAUGGCACCUAUGUCCUCCAACGACACGAGCUAGCAAGGGGGAGAGAGAGAAAGAGAGAGGCAGAGCAUCCGUCUGCUUGCCCCUGUUGCAGGCCAAGGGCAAGAGGCGUCAGAUACUGUGUCCCUGUGAGGCCAGCUCUGCGGAUGCUCAGUGCAGAUGCAGUGAGUGAGUGGCUCAUAGUCUUCUUCUGAAGCAAAGAAGCUUCCCCCCGAGAAUCCACUGGUCCAGAGAGUCCCGCUCAACAUGGGCAUCCCACUUAGCGUGGAAAGUCAUCCUUUAUUUGCAUGUUCUCUGAGAACCACCAGGAGAGUACAGAACCAGGAGGGACCUGAGGACGUUCCCUGGGUGGCGGUGACUGCGUGCUCCCCGAGGGCCCAUAGAAAGACAGGAAGACACAUUUGCCUCCUCUGGAGCCUCCGGCUAAAGGAUGAGUGAAGAUACUCUGGAUUCCACAUGGCACACAUCUCUCUUCAGGGCCGAGGUGUGGAAGCUUGGCCCAUGUAGGAGCAUUGGAAUCGGAGGGCCUGAACCAACUGUCCUCAGGCCGCAGGGUUGGGAAAAGUCGAGGUCCGCCUGGUUCCUGGGGAGCCAGCCCCAGAAGCUGUGCUCUUGAGCAAGAUGACGGGCAAUUUCACACCACGAGGAGGUGCCUGGUCUUGGCCCUUCUGGGCAUGGCGUUGCCUUGUCCACGGUCAGUCUGAGGCCACUGCAGUAUGCAGCACUACUGCUUUGCGGUCGCUUCAGGCCCUGUCUCCUCUCCUGUGGGAAGGGAAAGGACAUUGGCCCCGACUGCCUGUAGUGAGACGCAUUGUGAGUGAAGGUCUGGUGGUCAAACAUCUGCCUGCAAGCCUGCGUUCAACCGGGUGUUGAAGGCAGCGCUUCCUCUGCGUGAGCAUCUGGCCAGAGACGGCCAAGGCCAAGCGCCGAAGUUGGGGAAUUGCCCCACUCCCACGUUGUGAAGUGAGGUGACGGACGGUGACGGUCUUGCCGAAGGACCCGGCCAGCAGCGCUUCUGCAGGCGUUCGCUCUUCACUCAGCAAAGUGCCGUCCUGGAGCUGUGGUGCAGCAGGAUGCGGGCGAGACCUUUUGCAGGCAGGUACGUCCCUGUCAGGCAUUUUCCCAAACUCAGGAGGGAAGGAGGAAAGAUACUUUGCCUUUGCGUGGAGCCACGUUUGAGAGGCCUCAGGGCCUUAGCCCACCUCAGGGCCAGCCCAGCAGGAAGUUCAUAGGGGACACAGGGAGUGGUCCUCCAACCUCUGAAAAGGAAGAGGCUCUCCGGGAAAGCCUGUUGUCCCAAGAUGGCUCUGGGUGAUGCCUGCUCCAAGGACACACUGGAGAUGAUCCCUGAUUGACAGCUUCUCUGAGGAUGUAGAGGUGCUCACUCUCGCCCCCCUGAGGAAGCUGUAGGAACUCACCGGUGUGGCAGUUUCUAUGGCACCCCCAACCCCCAGCACCAUUUAGGCUCCCAGGAUUGGCUGCUCCAGAGGUGCAGAAGAUGUCCUGUCAAAAGAGGAUCCUCUUCGGGGUCACCGCAUCCUAAAGGUGAUUCCCUGCUCCUGGCCUGAUUUCUGGAUGCUGCUCUGCUUCAAUUGGAGUCUCUGUGGUCACUGGGCACCUCGUUCUCCUAAUGGUGACAUGUGGACAGUGUGUUCAUGGUCCUGUGCAGCGUGUCGCAUGCCUGGCUUUGCUAUAGAUGCUUGAACCAAUGAGUUCACCGUUAUUGUCCACUCUCCUUUUCUUUUGGGAUCCAUAAUCUUUUAUUUUAUGCAUUUGUAAUUCUAAUUUUAAUGCGUUGAAAUAUCUCCACAUCUUGACUAUAUUUGGAGAAAAUGCUUAUGGAGUUAAUUUUUUGGAAGUGAUAUCAUAUCCAUGGGGCCUUAAUAUGAUAGGAAUUUUUUUCCCUGAAAAAGGAAUUUUUGAGGUGUACCUGUUUGGCCCACUGGCCAGCUCAUGUAACUCUUUAUCUGGUGUAUGAGUUAGUGCCCUAUUGGGCAUAGAGUAAUUAAAUAUAAGUAAAUAAAUAUUAUUUUAAAAAGAAGUGGAAGAGACACCAGAGAUCUCUGUGCAUGUAUAUACAGAAGAAACCUAUUAUGUGCACAUAUGGGGAAGAAAGCAUUCUCCAUGCCAGCAAGAAGGGCUUGUCUAAAUACUGACCCUACUGGUUCUUUGAUUUUGGACAUAUAGCUGCAUAAUUGUAAGAAAAUAAAUUUCUGUUUAUACGAUCUUA